CUACGUGCCAGCAGCCGCGGUAAUACGGAAGGUCCAGGCGUUAUCCGGAUUUAUUGGGUUUAAAGGGAGUGUAGGCGGUUUGUUAAGCGUGUUGUGAAAUUUAGGUGCUCAACAUUUAACUUGCAGCGCGAACUGUCAGACUUGAGUACACGCAACGUAUGCGGAAUUCAUGGUGUAGCGGUGAAAUGCUUAGAUAUCAUGAAGAACUCCGAUUGCGAAGGCAGCAUACGGGAGUGUAACUGACGCUUAAGCUCGAAGGUGCGGGUAUCGAACAGGAUUAGAUACCCUGGUAGUCCGCACAGUAAACGAUGGAUGCCCGCUGUUAGCGCCUGGCGUUAGCGGCUAAGCGAAAGCAUUAAGCAUCCCACCUGGGGAGUACGCCGGCAACGGUGAAACUCAAAGGAAUUGACGGGGGCCCGCACAAGCGGAGGAACAUGUGGUUUAAUUCGAUGAUACGCGAGGAACCUUACCCGGGAUUGAA
rnacentral:rRNA from 1 species